GACGAACGCUGGCGGCGUGCCUAAUACAUGCAAGUAGAACGCUGAAGAGAGGAGCUUACUCUUCUUGGAUGAGUUGCGAACGGGUGAGUAACGCGUAGGUAACCUGCCUUGUAGCGGGGGAUAACUAUUGGAAACGAUAGCUAAUACCGCAUAACAAUGGAUGACACAUGUCAUUUAUUUGAAAGGGGCAAUUGCUCCACUACAAGAUGGACCUACGUUGUAUUAGCUAGUAGGUGAGGUAAUGGCUCACCUAGGCGACGAUACAUAGCCGACCUGAGAGGGUGAUCGGCCACACUGGGACUGAGACACGGCCCAGACUCCUACGGGAGGCAGCAGUAGGGAAUCUUCGGCAAUGGGGGCAACCCUGACCGAGCAACGCCGCGUGAGUGAAGAAGGUUUUCGGAUCGUAAAGCUCUGUUGUAAGUCAAGAACGGGUGUGAGAGUGGAAAGUUCACACUGUGACGGUAGCUUACCAGAAAGGGACGGCUAACUACGUG
rnacentral:rRNA from 1 species